AGCUCUCUUGCCCUUCCACCGUGUGAGGACUCAGCAAGAAUGCGCUAUGGCCCCACCACGCAUCUAUGAACCAGGAAGUGAGUCCUCACCAGACACAGUGUCUCCUGGUGACUUGAUCGUAGGGUUCCAGAGGCUUCCAGAACUGAACUGAAUAUGACAUAGUGAAAAGGAAUGAGAAGAAAACCAGUAGUCAGGAGAGUGGAGUUCUAACUGCAGCUAUAAGCAGGCAUUCAUGUUGUCGUGAACUACACACUGAGUACUGGGAUGCUGGAUAUUGUGUGGACACUUGAAGAAGAAGAAAGAAUUUAGCCAUGAUGGAUUUACACUAAGAUUGAAAGAAUCUUUAUGUUUCUAGAACUGGAAAGGAUCACAGAGAUCUUUGAUUGAUGACUUCACUCUUCAAGGUGAUGGAUAUGUUAAUUAGCUUUAUGGUGGCAAACGUUUCAUAAUGUAUAUCAAAACAUCACAUUGUAUACCUUAAAUACAUACACUUUUUAUUUGUCAAUUAUACCUCAAGAAAGCUGGAACAAUUUAUUUUUAAAUUUACAUAAUGUAAAAUCAACUUUUGGUGAUAUACAAUUCUGUGGGUUUAAAAAAUGCAUAGAUUAAUAUAUCCAACACCACAGUGAUGACACAGAGCAGUUACAACAUCUCCUAAAAUUUCCUUAUGCUCCUGCUUUUUAGUCAGCCUCUCUCCCUGCCCCAGUCCUUAGCAACCUCUGAUCUGUUUUUCAUUCCUUCAAUUCUGCCUUUCCCCAGAACGUCAUAUACGUGGAAGCAUGCACUAUGGAGGUUUUUGAGGUUGGUUGCUUUCACUCAGCAUUGUGCCCUUGAGAGCCACUUAAUUUGAUGCAUGUAUCAAUCAUUUGUUCCUUUUGAUGACUGCUUAAUGUUCCAUUGUAUGGAUGCAUAAUAGUCCAUUGCAUCGAUGUGCUAUAAUUGAUGAACAAUUGGGUGUCUUCUAGCUUUGGGAGACUAAACCUGCUGUAAACAUUUAUGUACAGGUUUUUCUGUAAAUGUCCUUUUUGAUUUAUCUUGGAUAAAUACCUAGGAGUGGUACUGCUGAGUAUGUGGUAUUGGUUAAGCGUAUGUUCAACUUUAUAAGAAACUGCCAAACUGUUUUCUAAAGUGGUUGUGCCGUUUUGCAUUUUGUAUACCAGUAAUGCAUGAGAUUUCUAGUUGCUCAAUAUCCUUUCCAAUCUGGUAUUGUCAUGUUUUUUAAAUUAAAGUUUUAGCCAUUCUAAUAGAUGCACAGUGCCAUCUCACUGUGCUUUUUAGGAAACUGAAUAUCCCUGAUGGUUAAUGAUCCUAGGCAUCUUUAGGUAUUUAUUUUUGUUCCUAUUGUUGGGUUUUGAGAGUUAAAGAUAUGCAUUCUAGAUAUAAGUCCUUUGUCAGUUUUGUGAUUUGCAAAUAUUUUCUACCCAUCUCUGCAGCUUGCCUUUUCUUAAUGGCAGUACUCCCGUCUUAUCUAAGAAGAAAUUGACACAUCGACAGCUUUUGUUGGCUCUGCCGUAAACUGACUGCAUGUGACAUUGGCUAAGUCACUUAAUUUAUUCUGUGCUUCUGUUUCCUAUUUCAUAAAACAAGUGUGGAAUGAGAAUAUUUCUGAGAUUCUCUCCAGCCAGAAUAGUCAAUAAGAGACUGGCCCAAGUUCACCCAGUUAAUGAGUAGCAGAGUUGGGCUGGAGCUUGGGCUGCUUCCCACGCUGUUGCUUUCGUUUACAAUGUAAUUAUUCUCGAUUUCUUAAAUCUAAUUUUUAAAAUUAGGUAUUUCAUUUACAUGCUUCAAAAUUUAAAAGUAUAAAAGAAUAUUCUGUUAAAAAACCUCCCUGUCACCCUGAACAAGCAAUACAUGUUCUGAAGCUUUUAAAAAUAUCUAUGAGCACAUUUUUAUGUGUUGUGUAUAUGUGUAUGUGUGUUUUCUUUCUCUCCUUUUUAAAGUGAAUUAUACACUGCAGCUUUCUUUUUUUCUGCUGAUAGAAAUGCAAGUUAAAAUUACAUGGUGAUUCAUUUUUUCCAUUAUUAUGUUUGUAGUUGAGGAUAUUUGUAUGGCACUAAAAACCAUUUGUCUUCUGUUGAAUUAUUUGUUCAUAUUGUUUUCCUUUUUUUUCUAUUGGGUUGCUGGCAUUAUAGCUAUAAGCUACUUAUUUAUUAUAGAAAUUAACUUUAUGAGAGCUCACAAUCUUCCCCCAGUUUGCCUUCUGUCUUUUGAGUUUGCUUACUGUGGUUUUGUUUGAAGAGUUCUGACGUUUUUGUGGUUGAAUUCAUCAGUCUGUUAUCAUGUCUGGCAUUUGGGUCAUAGUUGAAAGGACUUUUCCCCCUUAAUAUUAACAGAGGAAUGAUCCCAUGGUUUCUUUAAUUUAUCACUGAAUUCUACAUAUUUAUAUAUAUGUAAAUAUUUGAUCAAUUGGGAACUUAUCGUGGCAUAAGGUGUGAGGCAUAGAACCAAAUAUAUUCUUCCAGAGGCAGCUCAUUUCUCUCACAACUAUUACAUAAUCCCGUUCUUCUCUUCUGACCUUGUUUGCCACUUACAACAUACACUAAAUUUCCAUAUGGGAGGUUCUAUUUCUGAAUUUUAUACUACGUUCCAUUGAUCUUUCUUUCUACUUAAGUUAAAUAUUGAAGUUUUAUUUGUGUUUCAGCAUGUUACAUACAGGGCUAGCCUUCCUUCAUUAUUGUUUUAAUUUCUUCGGAAUUCUUCCAACAUUUUAUUAUACAUUUUCUUAAGCGUAUGGAAAUGUUGAAAGAAUUUUACAGUGAACACUCAUUACACACUACCUGUAUCUAUCCAUCUAUUCGGCUCUCUGUACACCAAUCCAUCUUAGUUUCUGAUGUGUUUCGAAGUAAAUUGGAGAUACCGGUGUACAUCCCACCAAGUACUUCAGCAUGCACAUCAUGAAGUAAAGUUUAGUAUUUACAGCAUUUUUGAUUUUCAGCUAAAUUUCACAUGCAAUGAAAUGCACAAAUCUUAAAUGAAUGUUCGCUGGGUCUGGACAAAAGCAUAUGCUUAUCAAAACACAGAAUAUUAAAUCACCCCAGAAGUUUCCUCAUACCUCUUGUCAGUUAAUCCCCAUGCUCACUCCCUCAGAGCCUACCACUGUUCUAACCUUUUUACCACCACAGAUUUAGUUAUUUGUUCUAGAACUUUGGUAUGCACUCUUUUUGUGGCCACCUUCUUUUGUUCACUAAGCAUAAUUUUUGCGACUUCUCCAUGUUGUUGCUUUUUACUGGUGAGUGCUAUUCCAUUACAUGACUAUACUAUGUUUGGUUUCUCUGUGUUCCUAUUAAUCAAUACCUGGGUUGUUUGCAGGUUUUGGCUCUUAUGAAUAAAGCUGUUAUGAACACUCUUGCACAGCUUUUUCUUGUGGUCCCUUAUGUUUUGUUUUCCCUUUUCUAUGGCAUGGGAUGGAGCAAAUACCUAUGAGUGGAACUGCUGGAUGAUACAGUUUGGAUAUGUGUCCUGCCCAGAUGUCAUACCGAUUUGUAAUCCUCAGUGCUGGAAGUGGGACCUGGUGGGAGGUGUUUGGAUCAUGGGGGCGAAUCCUCCAUAUCUUGGUGCUGUCUUCAUGAUAGUGAGCAGAUGGAGUUAUUGUUAUGGUGUUUAGGACAAGCCAAUUGUGUUAAAGCAUGUGACACACCUAAUUUCAGAAACCAGAGGGGAAAUCACCACUUAUUCAAGUUCAAGGAAGCCAACUCCCACAUAAAAAGAUGGACUAUUCUGAGACGGCCAUGUUGUGGAGAAUCCCAAGCUCAGUACGCUUCUCAGAGAGGGAGGGAUGCCUGACCAACCCCUAGGUAUUCCAGCCUUCUUGGUUGAGACACCAGAUGUGGGGGAAGAAGUUACUCUGCAAGUUCAGCCCAGUUGGGCCUUCAGAUGCCCACAGCUCUAGCCACCAUUUGACUGAAACCUCAUGAGAGACCCCAGGAAGUUCCCAGAAGAACCUGGUCUUCUGACAGAUCUGUAAGAAAUAAUAAUGAAUUAUUGUGUUAAGCCACCAAGUGUGGGGCUGUAGUUCUACAGCAUUUGCAGGUUACUGAAACUGUUCAUUGUAGAGGGCUUGGUUUUAAGUGUGUGUUUAGUACUUUUAUACUUAUUAAUCACUAUUGUUUCUGUUCUCUUGAAUUACUUUGUAUUUUCUGUUUAAAUAGUUGUUUUUUCACUAUCGGGUCUGUGUGCUUUGCUU